rnacentral:lncRNA from 1 species
AGGUACAUAUACAUUUACAUAUGCAUAAUGUUGGUUUGGACUUGAUUUGCAAAAAAUUGGUCUUGUAUUGUAUGUUAAAGAGUUAUAUUCAUUAGACUGAAAACAAAGGUCUGCUACCCUAGCACGUCUCUGUCUGUUUCUUUGGCAAGGUUUUGGUUUUCUUGAGUUUUUCUUCUUUCGGCGGCAUUUAAUUUGAUUUAGAGAUUUGAAGAGCUUUUUACCCUUUUCUGGCAUAUUGUCAUGAGUCUAUGGAGUCAGAAUUUGCUGGACUAUCCCUUGAUGAUGAAGAAGAAGAGAUCCUGCAAGUACAAGGCGAUUCAGAUCCGGUGAGUGAGGAAGAAAUUCUUAGUCUGGUUGGAUGUUUUCUUACAGCCAGUAUCAUAUAUUACCCAGCAAUGAAAAGCACCAUGGCAAAUUUAUGGCAUCCUGUCAGGGGUGUUCAAAUUAGAGAUUUGGGGAGAAAAGGUAUUUAUUUAAAUUUUUUCAUAUUAUAGACAUGGAAAGAGUUAUUAAUGGUACUCUUUGGACAUUCAAUAAUCAUUUGCUGAUCUUGCACAAGUUGCAAGGAGGGGAAGACCCUCUAAGAGUUCCAUUAAUUUCAUCAUCGUUCUGGGUACAAGUUCACGGUGUGCCCAUUGGGUUUUAUUCUGAGAAUUUGGCUAUGCAAUUAGGAAAUUUUAUUAGAAUUUUCCAAGAUUAUGAUGGCUCUAGUUUGAGGAAAGAAAAUAUGAAUUUUAUGCGAAUUAGAGUUCAAGUUGAUAUUCAGCGCCCGCUAAAAAGGAAAAAGCAGGUUAAGUUUAAAAACAAGUGCUCCUAUGUUAGAUUUAAAUACGAAAGACUUACUCUCUUUUGCUUUUACUGUGGCCGUCUAGGCCACAAUGACUCCUUUUGUGAAGCUAAAAUGGAGGCUGGGGUUGAAGUUAAUGAAAUGGGAUGGGAUUUGUCAUUGCGAGCACAGUCAAGAAGAGCCCAAGCAAUGAGUAGUGUUUGGUUAAGGAAGGAGGAUCUGAAGGGGGAACGAAUAAAAGGGGCGAAUUUAAGGGAAACAGAGAUUGGGGAUUUGUUGAAAAAUUCGAGGGAAUUGUUGAUCCUAUUUUAGGUUUUAAUUUGGAAGUUAGAAAGGAAAAGAGCUCCAUUUGCUGAUAGUCAGAUAGCCAUGGAACAUGAUUUGGAGAAUGAGAUGAUUAUAGGGGAGGAGGGGAAAAAAAGAGUGAGGGAGGAUAUCGAAGAAAGGAGUGUUAUGGAAGGGAGAAUCAAGAGGUUGCCUGACAACAAUCAUUCGUUUCGGCGGCUGCCAAGAGGCAAGCUGGCCGAUCGCAAUGAAAAUCUUAACCUCGGACAAUUCAUCGGCUUUGGUAUUCAUUGAAGCUUUAAAAUCCCCAGGUGAUUUUCUUAAUAAAGACUAAAAUAAACAAGAAACGGAUGUAAAAAAUUCGAGGAAACUGUGGUUUUUAGUGUGGAAUUGACGUUGAGUCGGUUGGAUCUAGAGGAGGACUCUGUCUAGCAUGGCAAGGGAAUGUUAAUAUAGUGCUAUAAAGCUUUUCAAAUCGCCAUAUUGAUGUGAUUGUUGAGGAAGGAGACGGGGGAAAGUGGAGACUCACAGGGUUCUAUGAUUCUCCUUAUUUAGGUGAAAGGGAUGAAUCUUGGAAUUUGUUGCGACAACUACGUAAUCAGGGUGAUUUUCCAUGGUUGGUUUGUGGGGAUUUUAAUGAAAUCUUAUACGGUUUUGAGAAGAAAGGUGGAAUACCUAGAAAGGAAAGAAGGAUGGAAGCUUUUCGCAAGGUUUUAGACGAUUGUAGUCUGGUGGACUUGGGUUAUUCAGGCAAGCGGUUCACGUGGGAGAGGGGUAAUUUGCCAGAAACAAAUAUACAGGAAAGACUUGACAGAGGAGUGGCAACAGAGCAAUGGAAUACUUUAUUCCCAAAUACUCUUAUUCAGCACUUCCCACAUUCAUUUUUUGACCAUUGUCCACUUCUUAUUGAUACGAACUUCAGAGUUAAAAGGGCGAUAGAAAAGAAUUUCAAAUUUGAAGCAUGGUGGGUUUUGGAGGAGACAUUCUUCGAUGAAACCAAACGCAUUUGGGAAAAUUCCACAGGAGAUUUUUUAUACAAGCUGGAAAACUUAAAAAGAGGUUUAGAGAGGUGGAGAGCUUUGAUCCAGCAGAGUAAGAGGAUGAAUAAAGAGGUUUUAACUUCAAGAUUGAAAUUUUUACUCGAAUCAGAGAGAAGUGAUGAGAACCUGGCAGAGAUUAUUGACACAAAACUCCAUCUGAACUUUGAGAUUGAAAAGGAUGAAAGAUAUUGGGAGCAAAGGGCCCGAAUUAAUUGGUUGAAAUAUGGAGAUAGAAAUACAACUUUCUUUCACAAACAGGCGUCACAAAGAAGGAAGCAAAAUAGAAUCCACAUGUUGCAGUUUGAAGAUGGAAGGGAGGCAGAAGACUGUAGGGAGAUGGAGGACAUUGCUAGAUCGUAUUUUUUAAAGUUAUUUUCAACAGGAGGGCAAAAUAGCUAUGAGAAAAUUUUAUCAGGUAUUGAAAGGUGUGUCUCUGAGGAAGAUAACAUUAAACUGAAGGCAAGGUACACGAAGGAGGAGAUACGGGAAGCCCUUUCAGAAAUAGGACCUACAAAAGCUCCAAGAGAGGAUGGUUUUCCAGCCUUAUUUUAUCAGAAAUGCUGAUCAAUUAUUGGUGAUGACGUCUCCAAAUUUUGCCUCCAAAGAUUAAAUGAAGGUAUGGAAUUGCGUUCAAUUAAUAAAACAAACAUUGUGCUCAUCCCAAAAAUCCAGAACCCCUCAAGCAUUACUCAAUUUAGACCUAUUAGCUUAUGUAAUGUGAUCUAUAAACUGAUUGCUAAAGUCAUUGCAAAUAGACUUCGGGGGGUGAUUCAUAAAUGUAUCGAUUUAGCAUAGAGUGCUUUUGUUCCGGGAAGGCUGAUUUCUGAUAAUGUGUUACUUGCUUAUGAAAUUCUACACACCUUAAAACUUAAUAGGUUUGGGAAAAAAAGAUUCAUGGCUGUUAAAUUGGACAUGAGUAAGGCUUACGAUAGAGUUGAAUGGGGUUUUGUGGAAGGGGUGAUGAAAAAAAUGGGCUUUGAUCCAGGAUGGGUUGAUUUAGUAUUGAAUUGUGUCUCUUCGGUCUCAUAUUCUGUGAUUUGUAAUGGAAAUAUUGGACGAAUGUUUCUUCCAUCUAGAGGUCUUAGGCAAGGGGAUCCUCUAAGUCCAUUUUUAUUUCUUUUUUAUGGUGAAGGAAUCUCAAGUUUAAUGAGGCUUGCAAAAGGAGAUAACGUUCUUAAAGGUGUUAAUGCAAGUCGAAGUGGGCCAGCUAUAUCUCAUUUACUGUUUGCAGAUGAUUGCAUUUUAUUUGCAGAAGCUAAUGGAAGGGGUGCACAUUCAAUAAAACAGAUUCUGCAUGAUUAUGAGGUGAGUUCCGGGCAAUGUGUGAAUUUUGAAAAAUCGACUGUUUUCUUCAGUACAAACAUAGAAGAAAGUGAAAGGGAUGUUGUUUCACAGAUCCUUAGAGUCAGAAGAGAAAAUGAUUUGGAAGGGUAUCUUGGGCUUCCUAGUAUGGUGGGGAAAAGAAAGAGAUUGUCUUUUCAAAAUCUGAAGGAUAGGCUUAAGCAAAAAAUCGACAAUUGGAGUAUCAGGUUUCUCUCCCAAGGUGGAAAGGAAGUGUUUAUAAAAGCAGUUCUCCAAGCUAUCCCAAACUAUUCGAUGGCUUGUUUUUUACUCCCUAAGACUCUUUGUACAGAUUUGGAUAAAAUAGUAGCCAAUUUCUGGUGGCAAAAGAGACAAAAUAAAAAAAAAGCAUCCAUUGGUGCGUUUGGAAGGAUAUUUGUUUACUUAAAGAAGAUGGUGGCCUCGGUUUUCGUAAUUUUGCAAAGUUCAAUAUUGUGUUAUUAGCGAAGCAGGGGUGGCGUCUUAUUAAUUAUCUGGAUUCAUUAUUGGCCCGUGUUUUGAAAGCAAAAUAUUUUCCUAAUUCAGAUUUCUACAAAGCUCGGUUGGGGAAUUUACCUUCAUUUACCUGGAAAAGUAUUUGGGCUGCGAGAGGACUCCUUGAAAGAGGACGUUGCUGGAGGGUGGGGAGAGGUGAUCAAAUUUCCAUUUGGAAUGAUUCGUGGAUACCAGAGAACGAAGAAGAUAGAAUACCGAUUCAAGAUGGAAAUGAUAAUAUUAAAUUAGUCUCUAAUUUAAUUGAUUCAAAUAGUAGGAGUUGGAAAAUAAAGUUGAUAAGAAAUACCUUCCAACCGGUCAUAGCGGAGAAAAUUUUACAGAUCCCACUGGCGGAGACAGUACAAGAGGACUUUCAAGUAUGGAGAGGAGAACCGGUAGGGGAGUUCUCCGUAAGGAGUGCCUAUAAACUAUUACAUGAGCCUAACCUUGAUCCUAAUGGCUUAAUGUUACAUACCGAGACAAAAAAUUUCUAUAAUAAAUUAUGGAAAUUACAUAUUCCCUCAAAGAUUCAAAUGAAAGUAUGGAGGAUCUCUUGGAAUUUUAUCCCAUCUUUUAUCAACCUCAAAAUCAAAAGGGUUGUUAGGAAUUCUCAAUGUCCUAGAUGCGUAUGUGAUGAAGAGAAUAGCUGCCAUAUCUUCCAACAGUGCCCUACAUCGAUAGAGGUUUGGAAUCAGUUAAACCUUUCAUGGUUACUGAGUCAGAAUAAUGAUAAUAUGUGGGGUUGGCUUACCUGGGUCUUUGAUAAAGGAAAUGAUGAACAACUUCGAAUCUUCUGUUGUAGCCUCUGGUUCAUAUGGUUCAGUAGAAACCAACUCGUAUAUGAAAGGAAAAACAUGUCAGGAUCAGAAAUUGUUAGGAGGAUCAGAGAUUAUAUUACAGAACUUGCAGCUACAAAGGAAGGAAAACUUACUCUUUAUUCUCAUGAGAAUACUCAACAAGUACCCAGAAGGGGAAGGACCAUAGUUCAUUUUGAUGCAGCCUUCGACCGCCAGGAUUUCAGAUCGGCAUCGGGAUUAAUAACAUGGAACGAGGAAGGGGAAAUGCUUGCAACACAAGCAGUUACUCAUUCCAACAUUGCAAAUCUAUUUACAACAGAGGCAUAUGUAGGACUACAGGCAAUAAAACUAGGGAUUAGACUGGGAGUCAACAAAAUAGAAGUUAUGGGGGAUUCAAAAACCGUUAUCAAGAAAUGUCAAAGCACUAAUAUAGACAAAUCGGUCAUUAGAACAAUAAUCAAGGAUAUUCAGAUCCAUAGAAACAGUUUUCAGGAGAUUGAGUUCAUUUUCAUCCCAAAGGCGAAAAACAUCUAUGCGCAUACUAUAGCAAAGGAGGCCUGAGAAAAAGAGAAUGCUUUUACCUGGAGAAGGGAGCCCCUGAAAUGGUUCGGAGAGCGGUAGGAAACCUCUAGCCAAAACCUUCGGAUUGAAGGAAGUGAAGAGUUUUUUGGAAGAAAGAGUAGCAGAGAAAACGUUUUUAUUUUUUUGAAAGCCUACUAUUCAUUAUGGCUGGACAUCGGAAAUGAAAAGAAGAAAUAAAUGGUAUCCAGCUAUUUUUGAUUUGACUGGUUAGGAUAGGAUUAGUUUUAUUUUUUUAUUUUUAUUGAACGGGAUGGGCUAAC